rnacentral:tRNA from 1 species
UCCCUGGUGGCUCAGUGGUAAAGAAUCUGUCUGCCGAUGCAGGAGACACAGGUUCAGUUCCUGGCUUGGGAA